GACGAACGCUGGCGGCGUGCUUAACACAUGCAAGUCGAACGGUAAGGCCUUCGGGUACACGAGUGGCGAACGGGUGAGUAACACGUGGGUGAUCUGCCCCCUACUCUGGGAUAAGCCUGGGAAACUGGGUCUAAUACCGGAUAUGACCUCCUUCUGCAUGGUUGGUGGUGGAAAGUUUUUUCGGUAGGGGAUGAGCCCGCGGCCUAUCAGCUUGUUGGUGGGGUAAUGGCCGACCAAGGCGACGAGGGGUAGCCGGCCUAAGAGGGCGACCGGCCACACUGGGACUGAGACACGGCCCAGACUCCUACGGGAGGCAGCAGUGGGGAAUAUUGCACAAUGGGCGAAAGCCUGAUGCAGCGACGCCGCGUGGGGGAUGACGGCCUUCGGGUUGUAAACCCCUUUCAGUCGGGACGAAGCGAGAGUGACGGUACCGAUAGAAGAAGCACCGGUCAACUACGUGCCAGCCGCCGCAGUAACAC
rnacentral:rRNA from 1 species